UUAACCAGGUGGGCUAGUUGAGAACACCUUUAUUUAACCAGGUAGGCCAGUUGAGAACACCUUUAUUUAACCAGGUAGGCCAAUUGAGAACACCUUUAUUUAACCAGGUAGGCCAGUUGAGAACACCUUUAUUUAACCAGGUAGGCUAGUUGAGAACACCUUUAUUUAACCAGGUAGGCUAGUUGAGAACACCUUUAUUAAAACAGGUAGGCUAGUUGAGAACACCUAUAUUUAACCAGGUAGGCUAGUUGAGAACGCCUUUAUUUAACCAGGUAGGCUAGUUGAGAACACCUUUAUUUAACCAGGUAGGCCAGUUGAGAACACCUUUAUUUAACCAGGUAGGCCAGUUGAGAACACCUUUAUUUAACCAGGGAGGCUAGUUGAGAACACCUUUAUUUAACCAGGUAGGCCAGUUGAGAACACCUUUAUUUAACCAGGUAGGCCAGUUGAGAACACCUUUAUUUAACCAGGGAGGCUAGUUGAGAACACCUUUAUUUAACCAGGUAGGCCAGUUGAGAACACCUUUAUUUAACCAGGUAGGCCAGUUGAGAACACCUUUAUUUAACCAGGGAGGCUAGUUGAGAAC